rnacentral:rRNA from 1 species
AUUGAACGCUGGCGGCAUGCCUUACACAUGCAAGUCGAACGGCAGCACGGGUGCUUGCACCUGUUGGCGAGUGGCGAACGGGUGAGUAAUACAUCGGAACAUGUCCUGUAGUGGGGGAUAGACCGGCGAAAGCCGGAUUAAUACCGCAUACGAUCCACGGAUGAAAGCGGGGGACCUUCGGGCCUCGCGCUAUAGGGUUGGCCGAUGGCGGAUUAGCUAGUUGGUGGGGUAAAGGCCUACCAAGGCGACGAUCCGUAGCUGGACUGAGAGGGCGACAAGCCACACUGGGACUGAGACACGGCCCAGACUCCUACGGGAGGCAGCAGUGGGGAAUUUUGGACAAUGGGCGAAAGCCUGAUCCAGCAAGGCCGCGUGUGUGAAGAAGGCCUUCGGGUUGUAAAGCACUUUUGUCCGGAAAGAAAUCCUUGACUCUAAUACAGUCGGGGGAUGACGGUACCGGAAGAAUAAGCACCGGCUAACUACGUG